GAGUACCCGACCUUGAUAGCUGAGCAUUU
rnacentral:piRNA from 1 species